rnacentral:rRNA from 1 species
CACGAAAUUAGCCUGGGCGCUUCUUCUUUGGAUACAGUCAUUAUCUUCACCAACGAAAGGACUUUACAACCCUAAGGCCUUCUUCAUCCACGCGGCAUAGCUGGAUCAGGCUUGCGCCCAUUGUCCAAUAUUCCCCA